rnacentral:rRNA from 1 species
AUUGAACGCUGGUGGCAUGCCUUACACAUGCAAGUCGAACGGCAGCACGGGAGCAAUCCUGGUGGCGAGUGGCGAACGGGUGAGUAAAGUAUCGGAACGUGCCCAGUCGUGGGGGAUAACGUAGCGAAAGUUACGUUAAUACCGCAUACGAUCUAUGGAUGAAAGCGGGGGAUCGCAAGACCUCGCGCGAUUGGAGCGGCCGAUAUCAGAUUAGGUAGUUGGUGGGGUAAAGGCUCACCAAGCCGACGAUCUGUAGCUGGUCUGAGAGGACGACCAGCCACACUGGGACUGAGACACGGCCCAGACUCCUACGGGAGGCAGCAGUGGGGAAUUUUGGACAAUGGGCGAAAGCCUGAUCCAGCCAUGCCGCGUGCAGGAUGAAGGCCUUCGGGUUGUAAACUGCUUUUGUACGGAACGAAAAGGUUUGGCCUAAUAAGCUGAGCUCAUGACGGUACCGUAAGAAUAAGCACCGGCUAACUACGUGCCAGCAGCCGCCGUAA